rnacentral:rRNA from 1 species
UACGGGGGGGCAAGCGUUGUUCGGAAUUACUGGGCGUAAAGGGCUCGUAGCGGCCAACUAAGUCAGACGUGAAAUCCCUCGGCUUAACCUGGGAACUGCGUUUGAAACUGGGGAGCUAGAGUGUAGAAGAGGGGGGUGGAAUUCCAGGGUGUAGCAGUGAAAUGCGUAGAGAUCUGGAGGAACACCGAUGGCGAAGGCAGCCCCCUGGGCUAACACUGACGCUCAUGCACGAAAGCGUGGGGAGCAAACAGG